GUAACGUAGCUAACGCGUGAAGUCAGCCGCCUGGGGAGUACGGUCGCAAGAUUAAAACUCAAAGGAAUUGACGGGGGCCCGCACAAGCGGCGGAGCAUGCGGAUUAAUUCGAUGCAACGCGAAGAACCUUACCAAGGCUUGACAUAUAGAGGAAACGUGCAGAGAUGUACGCCCCGCAAGGUCUCUAUACAGGUGGUGCAUGGUUGUCGUCAGCUCGUGUCGUGAGAUGUUGGGUUAAGUCCCGCAACGAGCGCAACCCUCGUCCUAAGUUGCCAGCACGUAAUGGUGGGAACUCAUGGGAGACUGCCGGGGUCAACUCGGAGGAAGGUGGGGAUGACGUCAAAUCAUCAUGCCCCUUAUGUCUUGGGCUUCACGCAUGCUACAAUGGCCGGUACAAAGGGUUGCGAUACCGCAAGGUGGAGCUAAUCCCAAAAAGCCGGUCUCAGUUCGGAUUGGGGUCUGCAGCUCGACCCCAUGAAGUUGGAGUCGCUAGUAAUCGCAGAUCAGCAACGCUGCGGUGAAUACGUUCCCGGGCCUUGUACACACCGCCCGUCAAGUCAUGAAAGUCGUAACACC
rnacentral:rRNA from 1 species